UACGAGUGCCCCAAGCGUUAUCCGGAAUUAUUGGGCGUAAAGGGGUGUGUAGGUGGUUGUGUUAGUCUUCUGUUAAAUUCUUCGGCUUAACCGGGGGCAUGCAGAGGAAACGGCACAACUAGAGGAUGCGAGAGGUAAAUGGAACUCAUGGAGUAGGGGUGAAAUCCGUUGAUAUCAUGGGGAACACCAAAAGCGAAGGCAAUUUACUGGCGCACUCCUGACACUGAGACACGAAAGCGUAGGUAGCGAAAUGGG
rnacentral:rRNA from 1 species